AGAUUAAUAACUGUAGAUUAUUUAUUAUGACUAAUUUAACUCCGCUACGGAUCGUCGGAAGGGUCAAAGUUGUGUUCGUCGCUGACCCACCGGUCCGGUCCAGUUUAAACCUUGUUUUAUGGGUUUAUGGCUCAGAAGCCGCACUGUGCCGGGAAACAGCCGCUGAUGAGCGCAGAGCAGCAGCUGCUGGGCCGGUGAGGACGAGGAGGGAGAGAAGCGACAGAACACGUUCACUGUCUGGAGACUAAAACAAGCUAAAAGAGGCUAAAAGAGGCUAAAAGAAGAAGGAAUACUGGAUCCAUCACAACACUUUAACAUGAUACUGACCGUGAAUGUUGAGCGGCACCGGUCGGCUUCUCUCUCUCCGGGCUUCGACGAGAUCGCUCGGUCUGGAGGUGUCUUAUCUCCGGUGAGCGCUCUCGCAUCAGAUGAAGCUUGCUGACAGCGUAAUGGCAGGGAAAACCUCGGAAGGCUCCAUCAAAUGGCAGCUCUGCUACGACAUCUCAGCCAGGACCUGGUGGAUGAUAAAGUUUGAACCUGUCCUUCUUCCUGCUCCACUCCUUCCAGCCCCCGACACCGAGAACAUCUUCUAAUCUCCCAGCUUCAUUCUGCGUACCUGCAGCCCAGUACCAGUAGGAAUCAUGUAAAUACUGGAUGUAUCUCGCGCCAACUGUGGGAAGUCGAGUGUGGAGGUCAGGGAGUUGAAUGAGUGUGCAGCCCAGAAAGCUUAAAUGCUGGAGGCCGAUGGUCGUUUCCAGUCACAAUCCAACAGUUAAAGGCUCAGUCUGCUUCACUCUCUCAGAGGAAGACGGACUUUAAGUUUAUCUGACAUUCUUGUAACCCUUCUUCAUCGUGGCCACUUUACUCAGUGAUUGGUCAGAUGUGGAGGUGAGAAAGUCUGCAGUUUCAUUGCCGAUUGCAUCGACACAGACUGUAACACUCUGGAUGUCUUCCCAGGAGUCUGAAUCUGUCUCUAAGUGUGCUGUCAUCCACAUGUGUACGACUCACGACGCUGAGACGACAAAGACACAGAGUUGUUUUUUGAACCAUCUUUCCUUCACUUCUCUUGUUCUGCACAGAUAUUUUAGGAAGAAAUAAUUAUAAAAACAUCGGCAUUGGAAACAGUCUUGGGUGGUUUAGCCGAAUCUUCUCAUAUCUCCGCUUUUGUCUGGCGAUGGCGUUGCUCCUGGUUCCUCCCCCUGUCCUCCCCCUUCGUGCAGCAGGAGGCCCCUCUGUCCUCCCUGCCAGCCGGGCAGCGUGGAGGGCAGCGGGGGCACAGAGGAGCCUGGUGCUGCCUGAUGGCGGUCAGGAUGGGCCGCGCUCCGCUACAGAUGUGAUGCCAGCUUUUGCCAGGGGUCACCUUGGAGAGGCCGAUGGCAGCAUGUCCACCCCCUGCUCACCCCCCUCACCCCCCCAUCAGUACAGCUGGCUCCCUGCUUAAUCCGCCACAGGGGGAGGAGGCAGGGGGCCACACGGGCCGCUACAUGUUUCCUACAUACAGAUACAGUUUGUGGGAAAACACUCAAAUAUCUGAGCUGAGCAGGAGCAAAGCAUCAAACAUUAUUUACUUAAAGGAAUAAACUUGUGGGACAAAUCAUGUUCUUCACUAAAGUUUGUAGGUUUAUAUUAAUUGAUUAAUUAGCAGAGUGGUUUCGGUUUAAAGGUUCAUUCUUCAACCUUUCAACCUUUGAAAUGGCACUUUGACAACAUUGUCUUCGCUUAACGUCACUCGUGGAGCUCUCCAAAGAUCGCAGUCUUAUUAACUGAUAAUCAGACCAAUCUGUGCUCCCAAAGACACCAAUGUGUUGCUUUCCUUAGACUGCAGGGUUCUCCCUGAAGGUUUGUGUACGACUGCACAUGUCUGGCUCUGAGGUUUGAGGCUCGUCCCUGCAGACAGUAUUACCUUUUUUAAAUAAAAACUGUAAUUUCACAUCA